rnacentral:rRNA from 1 species
AUGGCUGGUGAAUUAGAGAUACUUCUGGUGGCAUGGGAAGGGUGGGGGAUCCAAGUGAUGGUGCUCCUGAGUUUCACAGUGCAGGUCACACUCCUCCUUUUGGCAGAUAUUCGUCGCCGCAACGACUCCACCAUGCUUAAAUUCAUCAUAUGGUCAGCAUACAUGCUGGCCGACACGACAGCGUUAUACGCCUUGGGACACAUGUCCCUGGUGAGUAGGUCACCGGAGCAGCAGCUCAUGGUGCUGUGGGCACCGUUGCUGCUAGUGCACCUUGGCGGGCAGGACAACAUCACGGCCUAUGCCAUUGAGGACAACCGACUAUGGCUGCGUCACCUGCAUACUUUUGGACUGCAGGUCCUCGCGGCUGGCUAUGUCUUGUAUGCAUCUUCCGUCCUGGGCAGCCGGACCUGGGUUCGUCCGGCUGCCAUUCUCAUGUUUGUGGUCGGGGUUCUCAAGUAUGAGGAAAGAGUAUGGGCACUCAUGUGCGCAAGCAAUUCUGCCAGUAGCAGCCUAUCCGCCACAAGCUACAAGGAUUUCCGCACCGGGCAACACCAGCAGUUGGUGCCGGAGGGAGAUGGUGUGCAAUAUCAGCAGUUGGCACCGCAGGGACACGAUGAGCAACAUCGGCAGUUGGCUUCAGACGGAGCCCAUCAGGGAAACCAGAAAGACCUACUAUUUUUAGCUUUCACAUUGUUGGACGUUCCCAAGCAAUUGUUCGAGGGGCCGGCACGUUUUGUGAAAAUCAAUAGGGAUCACAGUUUUGAAGGACGGGAGAUGUUGGAGGUGGUCGGAAUGCAACUAUCUAUGAUGUACGACUUGCUGUACACCAAGGCUGCGGUGGUCCACACUUGGUAUGGUAGGUGCAUCCGUGUCAUCACACUGCCGGCCACAGUCACGGCAUUACUGUUGUUCCAUAGAUCAAGUGACAAACAUGGUUACCACAGAAUAGAUGUGGUUGUCACUUAUGUUUUGUUGGGUGGUGCGGUCAUCUUGGAGACCACAUCAGUAUUACGGACCAUGUUCUCCAAAUGGACAUAUGCAUUCAUGUUAGAAAAGAAAUGUGCAUUGCUUGCUCCUGUGGUUCGACAUACUCGCAGAAUACAUAAAAGUGACUUGCGGGGUUACAUGGGGCAACAUGAGUUGUUUCGCCUGUGCGCUCACAGUAGGAAUAAUACAAGCAGCAAAAUUGCCAGAUGGAUGGGACGGGAGGACCAGUGGGACUCCAUGGCUUACUCCUACUCCAUCCCCGUCCCGCUUCUUAUCAUUCAGAAGGUGUUGAAACUAGUGUCUACUAGGGAGCCAAGCCAAUUUGACAUCACCAACUCACGGGGCCGGAAUGCCCUAAGGAGGUAUAGUGCCUUGAGCUCUAAUGGAAUGGAACAUGGAGUUGGUGAUGAUGUAUUAUUGGACCUGGAAUGGACUGUGGAGUUGGACCUGGAUGAGAGCAUCCUCAUGUGGCACAUCGCCACCCGCCUCUUCCUCGGCUGGUUGGAUGCGAAGAUAAUGGUGGUAUGGCGUGAGGAGGACCGUGGUCCAGACCUUACUAAUCUUUUCCUGGCAACCGGUGCGAUGUCCAAUUACAUGUUUUUCCUGCUUGCUGCGCGCCCAUACAUGCUGCCUUACCCUGUUAGUCGACAAAGGUAUGUUCAACUCUGCUAUGAUAUGAUAAAUUGCUUGGAGUACACCGGGAAUUGUGAUCUGCUCAGGGUCAUCUGGGACCAUGGGACUGCACAGCUCGAGGGAUCUCUGGUUACAAUUUAUCCUCCAGGAGUCAGUGUCAAUCUUAUAUUGGACAGAGGAUCUCGGCUUGGUGCAAGGCUGAUCAGAAAACAUGAAGACAGCAAUACGUUAUCUAUGUUUGAACGUAGCAAGAUGCUAUCAGUUACACUGGAGGUGAUCUUUGAAGUAUGGGUGGAGAUGUUGUGCCACACGGCCUACUGGUGCAACGAGAACUCUCAUGCCAAACACCUGAGCAGUGGUGUGGAGAUCAUGACCACCAUUUCCCUUCUCAUGAUAUACAUGUCAAGUGGUUUUAUUAACAAAAAUGAAAGGUCCCAUGCACCGGACAUCCAUGCGGCUCCUAGAGGAGCCAGAUCCGGAAAUGUUUAA